AGAGUUUGAUCAUGGCUCAGGACGAACGCUGGCGGCGUGCUUAACACAUGCAAGUCGAACGAUGAAGCCCAGCUUGCUGGGUGGAUUAGUGGCGAACGGGUGAGUAACACGUGAGUAACCUGCCCUUGACUUCGGGAUAACUCCGGGAAACCGGGGCUAAUACCGGAUAUGAGCUACCUUCGCAUGGGGGUGGUUGGAAAGUUUUUCGGUCAGGGAUGGGCUCGCGGCCUAUCAGCUUGUUGGUGGGGUGAUGGCCUACCAAGGCGACGACGGGUAGCCGGCCUGAGAGGGCGACCGGCCACACUGGGACUGAGACACGGCCCAGGCUCCUACGGGAGGCAGCAGUGGGGAAUAUUGCACAAUGGGCGCAAGCCUGAUGCAGCGACGCCGCGUGAGGGAUGAAGGCCUUCGGGUUGUAAACCUCUUUCAGCAGGGAAGAAGCGCAAGUGACGGU
rnacentral:rRNA from 1 species